rnacentral:pre_miRNA from 1 species
UGUAUGUAUGUGUGUAUGUAUGUAUGUUUUGUUCAUUUGUUUAUUAAGUUUACACACAAACUAACAUACAUACAGGCAUACAUACAUACA